AGAAUCAACGCUGGCGGCGUGCCUAACACAUGCAAGUCGAACGCGAAAGCCCCGCAAGGGGCAAGUAGAGUGGCAAACGGGUGAGUAACACGUGGGUGACCUGCCUUCGAGCGGGGGAUAACGUCCCGAAAGGGACGCUAAUACCGCAUAACAUCCUGCCUUUGAAGAGGCGGAGAUCAAAGCUGGGGAUCGCAAGACCCGGCACUUGAAGAGGGGCCCGCGCCUGAUUAGCUAGUUGGUGGGGUAAUGGCCUACCAAGGCAACGAUCAGUA
rnacentral:rRNA from 1 species